GUGAAUCAUCAAAUCUUUGAACGCAAAUUGCACUCUUUUCGGAGAGUAUGACUGUUUGAGGGUCAGCCUCUAUAAAUCGUCAUCGUUGCUGUUUCGCGGUGGAGUUCGUGGGAAGUUGGGUCAUCUUAAAUCCUUUUGACUUAAGCGACUUAAACUUUUCUUUUGGUUUCAUGAAGGUUUCUAAGUUCUCUU
rnacentral:misc_RNA from 1 species